UACGUAGGGGGCAAGCGUUGUCCGGAAUUAUUGGGCGUAAAGCGCGCGCAGGCGGUUUGGAAAGUCUGGUGUUUAAGGCUGAGGCUCAACCUCAGUUCGCACUGGAAACUUGUCAGACUUGAGUGCAGAAGAGGAAAGUUGGAAUUCCACGUGUAGCGGUGAAAUGCGUAGAGAUGUGGAGGAACACCAGUGGCGAAGGCGACUUUCUGGGCUGUAACUGACGCUGAGGCGCGAAAGCGUGGGAGCAAACAGG
rnacentral:rRNA from 1 species